rnacentral:siRNA from 1 species
AGCACAAAGUUCCUUCCUCUCUA